GUCAAAUCUCAAUUUUUUUGACCCAAAUUGAGGCAAGAAGGUCCGAUUUUCUGUGUCCAGAAGUUGGUGGCUGGUUUGGGUUGAAAUGUCCCUUUUUUGACCCAAAUUGGGGCAAAAUCUGCUUUUUUUGGCCCAGGUUGGGGCCUGGAGGUCAAAAAAUGGCGAUUUUCGUCAACGCGUUGAGUGUUUUGGGGUCAAAUCUCUGUUUUUAAGCAAAUUAGGGCAAGAAUUAUGGGGUUUUCCACACUGAUGGGUAAUUUAGGGUUGAGAUGUCACUGUUUGUCCCAAACUGGGGCCAAAUCUGCUUUUUUUGGCCCAUAUUGGGGCCUGGAGGUCAAAAAAUGGUGUUUUUCGUCAACGCGUUGAGUGUUCUGGGGUCAAAUCUCAGUUUUUUAAGCAAAUUAGGGCAAGAGUUAUGGGGUUUUCCAUACUGAUGGGUAUUUUAGGGUUGAAACGUCCCUUUUUUGACCCAAACUGGGGCAAAAUCCGCUUAUUUUGGCCCAUAUUUGGGCCCAAAAGUCAAAAAUUGGAGAUUUAUGGGGUCUAUGGGGUCGUGGCCACAUCUAUGGGGUCUUGGCCACCACCUCUAUGGGGUUGUUCCCACCACCUCUAUGGGGUCAUGGCCACCUCUAUGGGGUCUUGG
rnacentral:lncRNA from 1 species